rnacentral:rRNA from 1 species
CCUACGGGUGGCUGCAGUGAGGAAUAUUGGUCAAUGGGCGGGAGCCUGAACCAGCCAAGCCGCGUGAGGGAAGAAGGUACAGCGUAUCGUAAACCUCUUUUGUCAGGGAACAAAGGCGGGGACUAGUCCCCGGAUGAGGGUCCCUGAAGAAAAAGCAUCGGCUAACUCCGUGCCAGCAGCCGCGGUAAUACGGGGGAUGCGAGCGUUAUCCGGAUUUAUUGGGUUAACAGGGUGCGCAGGCGGCCAGUUAAGUCAGCGUGAAAAGCCCGGGGCUCAACCCCGGCAAGCUGUUGAAACUGGCGGGCGGGAGUUGGAGAGAAGUACGCGGAAUGCGCGGUGUAGAGGUGAAAUGCUUAGAUAUCGCGCAGAACCCCGAUUGCGAAGGCAGCGUACCGGCUCCACACUGACGCUGAGGCACGAAAGCGUGGGUAUCGAACAGGAUUAGAUACCCUAGUAGUC